AUUGAACGCUGGCGGCAUGCUUUACACAUGCAAGUCGAACGGCGGCGCGGGCUUCGGCCUGGCGGCGAGUGGCGAACGGGUGAGUAAUGCAUCGGAACGUGCCCAGUAGUGGGGGAUAGCCCGGCGAAAGCCGGAUUAAUACCGCAUACGACCUGAGGGUGAAAGCGGGGGACCGAAAGGCCUCGCGCUAUUGGAGCGGCCGAUGUCGGAUUAGCUAGUUGGUGGGGUAAAGGCUUACCAAGGCGACGAUCCGUAGCUGGUCUGAGAGGACGACCAGCCACACUGGGACUGAGACACGGCCCAGACUCCUACGGGAGGCAGCAGUGGGGAAUUUUGGACAAUGGGGGCAACCCUGAUCCAGCCAUGCCGCGUGCGGGAAGAAGGCCUUCGGGUUGUAAACCGCUUUUGUUCGGGAAGAAAUCCUCUGGGCUAAUACCCCGGGGGGAUGACGGUACCGGAAGAAUAAGCACCGGCUAACUACGUG
rnacentral:rRNA from 1 species